UGGGGAAUAUUGCACAAUGGGCGAAAGCCUGAUGCAGCGACGCCGCGUGAAGGAUGACGUAUUUCGGUAUGUAAACUUCUAUCAGCAGGGAAGAAAAUGACGGUACCUGACUAAGAAGCCCCGGCUAACUACGUGCCAGCAGCCGCGGUAAUACGUAGGGGGCAAGCGUUAUCCGGAUUUAUUGGGUUUAAAGGGAGCGUAGGCUGUUAUGUAAGUCAGCGGUGAAAUACCUAAGCUCAACUUAGGGGCUGCCGUUGAUACUGCAUAGCUGGAAUAUGGUUGCUGUUGGCGGAAUGUGUAGUGUAGCGGUGAAAUGCUUAGAUAUCACGCAGAACUCCAAUUGCGAAGGCAGCUUGCUAAACUAUAACUGACACUGAGGCACGAAAGCGUGGGUAUCAAACA
rnacentral:rRNA from 1 species